rnacentral:tRNA from 1 species
GCGACCGCGGGCGGCCGGACACGGCGGGGUCGCGGCCGGCCGGGCCGGUUCGGGCCGGUGCGGUCGCGGUC